AAACAUUUACUAUUUUUUAUCGCCUGUUUCAAUCAUUUUCAAGUUCCUUUUUAGUGUUCUUCAUUCUGCUCUAAGCUUGAGUUCUAAAAGCAUUUGGAAGUAUUUAAUGAUUUGUUCGAGUGAAUUUGGAUCUACUUAGUUUAGAUUCGGGUUGAGUUCUGCUCCAGUGAAGUUUUAGGAGCAUCUUAAGUUGAAUCUCGAGUCAUUUGGGUGCUACAUCCCUGUGGUGUUUGCUUGGGUUUGUUGAAGUCAUCUCGGGUCAAAAUUACUCCAAUUUGUUGUUGUGAUUAGCUGUUGGAUACCAGUUAUAUUACCUGAUGCUGAUCUCUUCUCCUUGUUGUAAUUUCAAUUUCAGGUACACGCUCGAAAUUAUAUUGAUGUAACCACAACUUAAAAUGAAAUGCAAUUGCAUUGACUGAUCCGUGUUCGUUUGGGUAUAUAUAUGGC
rnacentral:lncRNA from 1 species